UAAAGAAGCUGUGUGCCUAGUCUAGAAUGCAGGCUGCUAUUAAAUUCCCAAUAGAGUUAAUUAAAAUCUCCAGAAAAAACAUAGCGGACAACUUUUUUACAUCUAACAACACAGGGAUUAUCUUUCUUAUGUAUUUUUUUUUCUUUCUGCAUAUUUCACCGACUAGACUUUUUUUUAUUUCUUUAUUUUUGUCACAACAGUAUACACAAACAUUGUCAUAAAUAAAAACAACACAUCAUGAAAGAAAAAUAUGUAUAUAUAAGUAAAAGUAUGCAACAGCUAUGUUAAUUUGAUAUAAUGAAGGGAAAAAUAGGACAGGAACGGUAGGCACUUUUGUGCUCUAAUGCACGCCCCUUAUAGUCCUCUUAGGAAUGGGGUGAGGUCAAUAGUAGUCAGUUUUUGGUUGAAGAUUUUGGGAUUUUGAAUAGAGACUAUGGAGUCAGGUAAUGAGUUCCAAGCAUUAACAACUCUGUUACAGAAGUCAUAUUUUCUGCAAUCAAGUUUGAAGCGGUUGACAUUAAGUUUAAAUCUAUUGUUUGCUCUUGUAUUAUUGCGAUUGAAGCUGAAGUAGUCUUUUACAGGAAGGAUAUUGCAGUAGAUGAUUUUGUGUGUUAAACACAGGUCAUGUCGAAGUCGGCGGAGUUUUAAGUUUUCUAGUCCCAGGAUUUCUAGCCUGGUGGUAUAAGGUAUUUUGUUGUUUUCGGAGGAGCGAAGAACUCUUCUAGUAAAAUAUUUCUGGACACGUUCGAUUGUAUUAAUGUCAGAGAUGUGGUAUGGGUUCCAGACAGAUGAGCUGUAUUCAAGAAUAGGUCUGGCAAAUGUUUUGUAUGCUUUAGUUAGUAGUGUAGAGUUUUUGGAAAAGAAGCUGCGUAAAAUUAGGUUUACAACUCUUAGAGCCUUUUUUGCUAUGUAGUUGCAGUGGGCUUUGGCAUUUAGGUCAUUUGAUAUGAAAACUCCAAGAUCUUUGACAGGGUGAGGGUCGUCAGUAAGGUAAUGAUCAUCAAGUUUGUACUUGUUGAUAGGAUUCUUUUUUCCAAUAUGUAAGACUGAGCAUUUGCUGGUAGAGAUUUGGAGUUGCCAAGUUUUAGACCAAUCGGAAACUAAGUCGAGGUCUUCUUGAAGGGUAGAAGUAUUGAUAGUGGUAUUAAAUAGUUUGACAUCGUCAGCAAAGAGAACACAAUAACUUGAGAUGGGGUCACAGAGAUCAUUUAUGUAUAGUAUGAAGAGCGUUGGUCCAAGAACACUACCUUGGGGAACACCACUUUUGACAGGAACAGGAUUAGAUAUAGCGUUGCCAAUUUUGACCACUUGUUGUCUGUUUCACAGGAAGGCAUUUAUCUAAUUGUGAAGAGGUCCCGAAAUGCCGUAGAAGUUUAGUUUGAGGAGAAGUUUAUCAUGUACUACUGAGUCAAAAGCUUUGCAGAAGUCUGUGUAGAUUGCAUCUAUUGCUUUUCCUUGAUCAAGGUUGGUAGUCCAUAUGUUUUUGCAGUGGAGGAGUUGUAAGUUACAAGACAAUUUUUUUCUGAAACCAAAUUGUUUAUUAGAGAAAAGGUUGUUUGUUUCGAGGUGGAGUGUAAUGGAUUGGUUUAUGAUAGAUUCCAUUACUUUGCAUGAGACACAACAUAGAGAGAUAGGUCUGUAAUUUUCAACUAGGCUGGGAUCUCCUUUUUUGAAGAUAGGGAUGACUGUGGCUAGAGACCAGAGUUUUGGAAGGGAACUAGUUGUGAAAGCUUUAUUAAAGAUUAUGCUUAGGGGUUCAGCUAUAUUAAUUGAAAGUUUUUUUAAAAAAGUAUGCACAUAGUCCAUCUGGUCCAAUAGAUAAUGAUGGUUUCAGGUUGCAAAGGGCUUUUUCAACAUUAUCUUCUGUGAAGUCUAUAUGUGUUAUAUUAUAUUGUGAAAUCCCUUGCUGUGGGAUCUUCCUUGUAUAAUGACACCCAUGUCAAUUCCUCUUUGGACCUCCUCAGCAACCUGAGACUGCCUAAUUUCAUAUGCGAUCAGUAGCCUCCUUUUUCUUCUUUUCCUUUCUACAAUUUCAACUCUCAACUUCUUCUUGUCAGCUUCUUAGUCCAUUUCAACUCCACCCCUCCCCCUUUCAUGUGACUCCCUCUCUUUUGAAACACUUUCAUUCUAGGAGGUUAAGAUGGCAGGCCAUGUCUAACGCUUCCAUUCUGCCACAGUUCUGUUAGCAUAGAAAAGACCCAUCAUUAAGAGAGUCAGGUCGCUGACUACACAAUUAGGUUAUGAUAUAACUUGAUGACUCAAUUAAUCCACAUUCUGGGAAUGCAUAAUACAGUGAACUAUAAAUUAAUCAAAUAGGCUGGGUGUAAUAUCAUGCAAAACUACCACACACAAAAAAAACAAAUCUUAUGCAAGCUUAAUUCUAAUCAUUGUGAAAAUUCAGCUGCUAGGAGAUCAACUGAUUUUGUUUAGCAUACUGUUUGUACAAAACCAAUACCUUACAGAAAUAUAUUAGUAUGAUAAGAUUUGAUUAUCUGGUUUCCCAGAUCUAUAUACAAUUUCUUAUCACGUUCUCAUAGUUCCCUGUAUUCACCAUUUGCUUUUGCAGAUUUAUUCAAAUGUCAUACUUUUUUUUAAAGAAUCAGAGAAAGGACUUCAAAGCACCAUUCAUUUCGAAAAUACUACUAUGUACUAUGUUUACAUACAGUACUGGAAACCAUACAGCUAAUAAGUAAGAUUCAGGGCCAUUUAAUUCAGUUUUACUGAUGUUUUUCCUAACAAUGCUACCACUUUUAGGGAUCUCAGACUUGCUAAACACAGGCAAUUCCCAGUGGCCUACUCAUAAGCAGAAAAACACAUGAUCUUUUUAUGGGUCCAUGUACUUAUUUACUUAUAGGGUUUGUAUGUGUGAUUACAGCAGGCAAUGAGAACCUAAGAUACAUAACGUGGACUGUGCCUCUGAUGCACAAAACUGGGUGUUGGCACAAAAGAGGCAGCAUGUUAAAUGUUGACAGCUAAGUUAAAACAGGACACUUCACUACAAAGGAAAAAAAGCUUAUCUUUCUUUUAUUGAAAUAUUUAUUGGUUGGAAAAGGUAUAUUGCACCCUAAGAUCAAAACAAUCACAUUUAGAAUAGAAUAGAAUUUUUUAUUAGCCAAGUGUGAUUGGACACACAAGGAAUUUGUCUUGGUGCAUAUGCUCUCAGUGUACAUAAAAGAAAAGAUACAUUCAUCAAGAAUCAUAAGGUACAACACUUAAUGAUAGUCAUAGGGUACAAAUAAGCAAUCAGGAAACAAUAUCAAUAUAAAUCGUAAGGAUACAAGCAACAAAGUUACAGUCAUACAGUUAUAAGUGGAAAGAGAUUGGUGAUGGGAACGAUGAGAAGAUUAAUAGUAGUGCAGACUUAGUAAAUAGUUUGACAGUGUUGAGGGAAUUAUUUGUUUAGCAGAGUGAUGGCAUUUGGGAAAAAACUGUUCUUGUGUCUAGUUGUUCUGAUGUGCAGUGCUCUAUAGCAUCGUUUGAGGGUAGGAGUUGAACAGUUUAUGUCCAGGAUGUGAGUGGUCUGUAAAUAUUUUCACAGCCCUCUUUUUUAUUCGUGCAGUAUACAGGUUCUCAAUGGAAGGCAGGUUGGUAGCAAUUAUAUUUUCUGCAGUUCCAAUUAACCUCUGACGUCUUUGUCUAUCUUGUUUUACAUGCAAUUUUCAGUUGUUUCGAAAGAUGGCAUACUUAUUAUGUGAGCACUUCUUAUAAGGCAUCUCUUUGCCAGCAUCCUUCAGAUAAGGACACUCCCUUCGGUAUAUCUAUAUUCAUGUCCAUAGGAGGAAGAACUCAAGGAUGCCAUUGUUCAUGCUCUUCACCCAGAAAGGAUAAUUCAGGAUUCUUCUUUGAAUGGAAGCCAUACAGGAUUCCUCAAGGAUUAGGACUUUCUCUGUUCCUCAACUACAUACUGAAUGUAUUUUUACAUAUUUCUCCCACUGGGAGAAAUCAUCCAUCACCAUGGAUGAGAUAUCACUAGUAUGCUGAUGAUCCUUAGCUGUACACCUCUGCCCAUGGUGCUUUCUAACUGCUAGGUUGGCAGAAGCUGGGACAAGUAACGGGAGCUCACUCCAUACCCGGCACUAGGGAUUCGAACUGCUGAACUGCCAACCUUUCAAUCGACAAGCUCAGCGUCUUAGCCACUGAGCUACCGCAUCCCUAUGAAAUGCUAUUAUCUUCCCACAAAAGUGGUACACAUUUAUCUAGUCUCAUUUGCAUGCCUUGUGGGCAGGAACUGGGGCAAGUAAUGGGAACUCACCCUACCUAACUUACUAUAUGCAUAUAAUAUGCUAGUAUACAUAUGUUUAUAUGUGCACAUAUACAAAUCUAUAAAUAUAUACAAAAGCACAAUACAUAUACUGCACAAAAGGCAAGACUGGGACAAAGUAAAGAAAGCAUAUUGAAUAACUAUUAAAAUUAAUUGCCAAUUGGACUGAUUCUAAUUCCUUUGUUUCCUAUUACAUAUAUUCAUUCAGUGCUUUAGAAAAUGGAGAAAUACGGCAAGGAAGCUGCACAUUAUGACUAUAGUUGACUCCUGGCACACUAUUAGUGGGAGCUAGCCUUGCGAUUCCACCAAAUAAUCCACAGUACUGUAUUGGCCAUAUUAAUUACAGAUGCAGCAUAAUUC